CUUGCUCGACGCGGCGGCGGCGGAGGAGGAGGUUGGAGGCGGUUGUGAGCUACUGACGACGGCAGCGGUAGCGGCUGUGGGGCCCGAAAAAGUGAAGCUAGCUAGGGAAGAAGAGUGGCGGCCUUCCGCAGGAGAGGGCGGGCGACGAGAAGCCAUCGGGAGUAGGGAAACGGUCCCGUUCGCCGCCGCCGCCGCCUGCCGCCGGAGUUACGCCGGGAAGGAGGAAGGGGAUCAGGGGAUGAGGGACUCUUUUGCAGAAAGUGCACGAGCUGGGCUGGGCCAUUAACAACAUCAUUUGAUCCAACGGAUCUCGGGCCUCUUCAUGGGCCAUGGAAUUAAUAUUGGGCCGAACAGAGGCUGUACAAGAAGCAACAACAUUGCAACAAGUGAAGGCUUUCUGGAAAUUUAAGAUCAUCGCUGCUUGGCGUUCAUAUGCGAUGACGAGCCAGUAAUCUAUAUACGAGUAUUACUGCAGUUAUUAUUAUUCUUACCAGUAGUAGUUUUGACCGCAAGGAUCCGGUGCGAUACGGCCAUCAAUGUACGACACGUGCGAUCUUUAUACAAAAAACCUUAAGAAGAUGCUUGUGCAUCCAGCCCUUCCUGCGGCUAUCAGCUUCCGACAGAACUCAGAACGAAGCAGAAACACACAGCUGCUUUGGCCUACACGAUCUGCAUUCUCCGUCGGACUGUUACGAGCCAGAGAAGGAAGAAGAAAACAAAGAAACAAUAGGAGGGAUUCCAUCACUCCAUAGAGGAUAUAAGCAUCACUUCAAACUUCAGAGUUAAUUCAGAGAGAGAUGCAACAGCAGCAGCAGCAGCAGCAUCGGCAGCGAUACUACUGCUGCUACUUCCUCAUCCAUGCCCUGCUGCUGCUGUCUCUGAUUCUUCUCGCGGCGCUACUCAACAUCAGCUUGCUCACCGGAGCAAUGGCGAUGGCGAUGGGCGGGAGAGGCGGCGGCCGUGCGCCGCCGCCGCCGACCUCCAGCGGGGACCCUCACCCGUAGGAGCUAUCUGCACGUACUACGGAGACCACCAAGAACGAGCAUCAAUGCAUCAUAACCUGCCUAAGCUGUAUUUAGUAGUUGGACAGUGGAGAACUGCCAGUGAGGCAUAGGUUCAAUCUUCAGAAUCACGAUUUCAGGCUUCAAUUUUGUUGACAGAAGGUGAGCUGCUUCGUGUUCCAGAUAAAGGUAAAGGAUCCAUGCUACCUUCUGUGUAUCACUCGAUGUAAAGCUCCAUUCCUUAAUUUGGAGUUCAAAUAGCACACAGAAUCUCUAGUUGGCAACUUCUCCCGGUUUGAUUUUGUGCAAAGGAAAAAUACUGUCAACAGCUCGCGAGACUCUCCGCAUGCCGCCAGUAUUUCGGUCACAUCUGAGUUCCCAGAUUCAUUUUA